CGGGUACCAUUUAUGGUGUUAUGAUGCGAUAUGACAUAUGAUAUGUUCUGAUGAUAUGACAUGUUGUGAUGAUAUAAUGUGUACGGAGUUUGUACGGAGAUUUGAAACCUUCCGGAGUAUGAUGUGUUGUGGUACCAGCGUCAGGGUGGUUACCACGUUCCCGAGCCUUAUGCAUGAUUUUUAUUUGCAUUAUGUACAUAUAUUUUCAGUACAGAUUUUGAUAUCCUGGUUUGGUACAGACGUUCAGGAUCCCUCAACAUAGGCUACACACCUUCUGCUACUACAGAGUGCUCCUUUGACUUAGAACCUGCAUUUCGGUAUAUGGCUUUCCUGUGUACAUGCUUUUGUAUAUUUGACCGUUUGGGUACGGCGAGGCCCUGUCCCGUCAUAUACUUCCAUUAUGUUCUGUAGAGACCUAUAUACAUAGGUGUAGGUCAUGGGUCGUGUAUGUUCGUUCGUGUAUGAUUUGUGUCUUAAUACGGCCCCUUUUGUUAUAACGAUCAAAACGGCCCAUAUGUUUGUAUAUAUGUACGUAUUCGGUGA